rnacentral:lncRNA from 1 species
CUCUGUUCACGGAAAGGGCCUGGGAGCUGCAACACCUCAACAGCAACAAGCACACCUGCUACCUAGAACUUGGUUUCUAAAAACCAUCCUCCUCUAAAAGGAAACAGAGCUCUUUGAAGAAAUGGUAAUUUCAAAGCUAGAGCACAGAAAGUAUAAGAUGAGCCCAGAAUAUCUUUUUGUACAAGAAAGUAAGGCAAUGCUCAAAGAAUGAUGGAGACAUGCCCAAAAAAAGCAGAGAAGCCAACUUGAAAAGAUUCCAACAGGCCAAAUAUGGGACAAUUUGAACAUCAGAAUAAAAUGGUGACAGUCACAGAAUUAUAA